rnacentral:rRNA from 1 species
GACGAACGCUGGCGGCGUGCCUAAUACAUGCAAGUCGAGCGGACUGAUUAAGAGCUUGCUCUUAUGACGUUAGCGGCGGACGGGUGAGUAACACGUGGGCAACCUGCCCUGUAGAUCGGGAUAACACCGAGAAAUCGGUGCUAAUACCGGGUAAUAUCUGAGAUCACAUGAUCUUAGGUUAAAAGAUGGCUCCGGCUAUCACUACAGGAUGGGCCCGCGGCGCAUUAGCUAGUUGGUAAGGUAAUGGCUUACCAAGGCGACGAUGCGUAGCCGACCUGAGAGGGUGAUCGGCCACACUGGGACUGAGACACGGCCCAGACUCCUCCGGGAGGCAGCAGUAGGGAAUCUUCCGCACUGGACGAAAGUCUGACGGAGCAACGCCGCGUGAGUGAUGAAGGGUUUCGGCUCGUAAAGCUCUGUUGUUAGGGAAGAAACAGUACCGAACGAACUAGGUCGGUACCUUGACGGUACCUAACCAGAAAGCCACGGCUAACUACGUG